rnacentral:rRNA from 1 species
AUUGAACGCUGGCGGCAGGCCUAACACAUGCAAGUCGAGCGGAUGAGUGGAGCUUGCUCCAUGAUUCAGCGGCGGACGGGUGAGUAAUGCCUAGGAAUCUGCCUGGUAGCGGGGGACAACGUUUCGAAAGGAACGCUAAUACCGCAUACGUCCUACGGGAGAAAGCAGGGGACCUUCGGGCCUUACGCUAUCAGAUGAGCCUAGGUCGGAUUAGCUAGUUGGUGAGGUAAAGGCUCACCAAGGCGACGAUCCGUAACUGGUCUGAGAGGAUGAUCAGUCACACUGGAACUGAGACACGGUCCAGACUCCUACGGGAGGCAGCAGUGGGGAAUAUUGGACAAUGGGCGAAAGCCUGAUCCAGCCAUGCCGCGUGUGUGAAGAAGGUCUUCGGAUUGUAAAGCACUUUAAGUUGGGAGGAAGGGCAGUAAGUUAAUACCUUGCUGUUUUGACGUUACCGACAGAAUAAGCACCGGCUAACUUCGUGCCAGCCGCCGCAGAAGAC